CCUGGACUGCUAAGAAACUCUCCUGGAAACCCAUAUUUUCGCAGCACUGCGAGGAGGAAGGGCCAGUGCAGCCUGUCAAAUGAUUUCUCUGCAUCUAGUGAGAGGAAUACACUGCAUCCCUCCCACCCCCCGCAGCACCUGCAUCAGGUCAAGCACUUUGCAUGUGCCGUCACUUCCCUGGCGACCUUGUAUGAAUCCAACUUGAUCAUUGUGUAUGGUCGACAGUCUGUUUGCAAAUAUUUUUAUGUCUAUAUUGAACAAUG